rnacentral:rRNA from 1 species
UACGGGGGGGGGCAAGCGUUGUUCGGAAUUACUGGGCGUAAAGGGCUCGUAGGUUGCCAACUAAGUCAGACGUGAAAUCCCUCGGCUUAACCGGGGAACUGCGUCUGAUACUGGAUGGCUUGAGUUCGGGAGAGGGAUGCGGAAUUCCAGGUGUAGCGGUGAAAUGCGUAGAUAUCUGGAGGAACACCGGUGGCGAAGGCGGCACGCUGGGCCCGCCCUGACGCUGAGGCGCGAAAGCCAGGGGAGCGAACGGG